rnacentral:misc_RNA from 1 species
GCGGAGGAUCAUUACCAAUUUUCGGGGGGACUUUGGUCCCUGUCUGAACCCUUGUCUUUUGCGUACCAUUUGUUUCCUCGGCGGGUUCUGCCUGCCGAUAGGAUACUAUAAAAACCCUUUGUAAUUGCAAUCAGCGUCAGAAAACAUAUAAUAAUUACAACUUUCAACAACGGAUCUCUUGGUUCUGGCAUCGAUGAAGAACGCAGCGAAAUGCGAAAAGUAGUGUGAAUUGCAGAAUUCAGUGAAUCAUCGAAUCUUUGAACGCACAUUGCGCCCCUUGGUAUUCCAUGGGGCAUGCCUGUUCGAGCGUCAUUUGUACCUUCAAGCUCUGCUUGGUGUUGGGUGUUUGUCCCCGUUUUAUGCGCGGGACUCGCCUUAAAGCAAUUGGCAGCCGGCGUACUCGCCUUGGAGCGCAGCACAUUUUGCGUCCCUUGGCCUGAACGCUUGCGUCCACAAAGCCUAUACUUUUGCUCUUGACCUCGGAUCAGGUAGGGAUACCCGCUGAACUUAAGCAUAUCAAUAA